GCAUAAUUUGUGGUAGUGGGGGACU
rnacentral:piRNA from 7 species